CCUACGGGAGGUAGCAGUGGGGAAUAUUGGACAAUGGGGGAAACCCUGAUCCAGCGACGCCGCGUGAGUGAAGAAGUAUUUCGGUACGUAAAGCUCUAUCAGCAGGAAAGAAAAUGACGGUACCUGACUAAGAAGCCCCGGCUAACUACGUGCCAGCAGCCGCGGUAAUACGUAGGGGGCAAGCGUUAUCCGGAUUUACUGGGUGGAAAGGGAGCGUAGACGGCAGCGCAAGUCUGGAGUGAAAUGCCGGGGCCCAACCCCGGAACUGCUCUGGAAACUGUGAAGCUGGAGUGCAGGAGCGGUAAGCGGAAUUACUGGUGUAGCGGUGAAAUGCGUAGAUAUCAGGAGGAACACCGGCGGCGAAGGCGGCUUACUGGACUGUAACUGACGUUGAGGCUCGAAGGCGUGGGGAGCAAACAGGAUUAGAUACCCGAGUAGUC
rnacentral:rRNA from 1 species